rnacentral:lncRNA from 1 species
CAAAACCACCGUGUCUCCCAAGGUUUCUGCUUCAUAAAACUGCUGCCUCUCACACUUAAUUCAGGAGGAAUACAAACUCUUAUGUUCUAUUCUGGAAAUAUGACUUCUUUUUUCCAAAUUUCAUCCAUGGGCACCUGUUCCUCACUCGGUUUCCCGCAGACACAAUAAGAAGAAGUACUUUAUGUUCUCCGAGCUGCCACAAUGUGGGCACAGCUAUUACAGAUUUUAUUAUACUCAGUAGAAAAAAAAAUAAGGCUCUUAACAUUUGCUGGUAUUGCUUUUGCAAUUUAUAAAAAGGGGUUCCUGAUUCCACUUGGGGAUUUCCGAUUUAGAGAAAAUCCAGGCCCUGAGAGAAUAUGGAUCCACAUAAGCCCAAUCAGAUCCUUGCUGGGCUGGACACCCAGUAGCUUUGUAGCUGCCCUCAUUAGAAGCAUUCUCCUCUUCUUCCCAGGCACCUCCACUUGCAGCUAA